ensembl:lncRNA novel transcript
AGGUAAAAUUCUGGCACCUAUCCACAGCCUGAACCUUGGAGAACACCUCCCUUUCAUAUGACUUCUGCAAAGGGCGUGUUUCAGCUCACAGGGACAAAGAGUCACUGCACCAGAGAACCAGAAAGAGUUACAGACACGGCUCACAGGCUUAAGCGUCUUGCUGUAGGUCAUACGGCAGGUUAAUGACAACACUGGGGCAAGAACACAGGUUACGCUCGUCCUGGGGAAGGCUCCCACACCAAGCUACACACUUCUGCAAUGCUGUUCCAGAUGUGAAAAUCCGCUAAGACAAAUAGGUCACAAAAACACCAUGGGAAACGAUGAUGUCUUUUCCUUUUUGUUAUCUUGAUAAAGCUUCAUACAUGGAUACCAGAAUAGAGAGAUGAUUAUUACUCUUAUUGUGCAGAUGAGAAAACUGAUGUCUAGAGAGAAUGAAUAAAUCCCAUCUUUCACAGCUGAACACUUCACU